rnacentral:rRNA from 2 species
UGAGGAAUAUUGGUCAAUGGGCGAGAGCCUGAACCAGCCAAGUCGCGUGAAGGAUGAAGGUUUUAUGAAUUGUAAACUUCUUUUGCAGGGGAAUAAAGUACGGUACGUGUACCGUUUUGUAUGUACUCUGCGAAUAAGGAUCGGCUAACUCCGUGCCAGCAGCCGCGGUAAUACGGAGGAUCCAAGCGUUAUCCGGAUUUAUUGGGUUUAAAGGGUGCGCAGGCGGGUUGAUAAGUCAGCGGUGAAAGUUUGCAGCUUAACUGUAAAAUUGCCGUUGAAACUGUCGAUCUUGAGUGCAAAUGAGGUAAGCGGAAUGUGUUGUGUAGCGGUGAAAUGCUUAGAUAUAACACAGAACACCGAUUGCGAAGGCAGCUUACUGGGAUGCAACUGACGCUCAUGCACGAAAGCGUGGGGAUCAAACAGG